rnacentral:rRNA from 1 species
CGAGGGGUAACAGGAAAGUGCUUGCACUUUUGCUGACGACCGGCGCACGGGUGCGUAACGCGUAUACAAUCUGCCUUAUACAGGAGGAUAGCCUUUAGAAAUGAAGAUUAAUACUCCAUAGUCUAUUAAUAUAGCAUUAUAUAAAUAGUAAAGCUUCGGCGGUAUAAGAUGAGUAUGCGUCCUAUUAGUUAGUUGGUAAGGUAACGGCUUACCAAGACGACGAUAGGUAGGGGCCCUGAGAGGGGGAUCCCCCACACUGGUACUGAGACACGGACCAGACUCCUACGGGAGGCAGCAGUGAGGAAUAUUGGACAAUGGGCGAGAGCCUGAUCCAGCCAUGCCGCGUGCAGGAAGACGGCCCUAUGGGUUGUAAACUGCUUUUAUAUAGGAAGAAACCAUCUCUCGUGAGAGAUAUUGACGGUACUAUAAGAAUAA